CCCCGGGACACUGUCUGCAUGCAGUGGCCUCUCUGCCCACAGCCACACCUUCCAGCUGUGGAGGGCCCUGGGGGCUGGGCAGCCCACGAGCCACCUGGUGCUGACCACACUGCUGGCCUGUCUGCAGGAGCGACCCCUGCCCACCGGUGCCAGCGACAGCAGCCCCUGCCCCAAGGAGAAGACCUACCUGCGUUUGCUGGCUGCCAUGAACAUGCUGCACGAGCUGCAGUUUGCCCGGGAGUUCAAGCAGGCCGUGCAGGAGGGCUACCCCAAGCUCUUCCUGGCCCUCCUCACCCAGAUGCACUAUGUCUUGGAGCUGAACCUGCCCAGCGAGCCCUAGCCCAAGCAGCAGGCCCAGGAGGCGGCCGUGCCCAGCCCCCAAAGCUGCAGCACGUCACUGGAGGCACUGAAGAGCCUGCUGUCCACCACGGGGCACUGGCAUGACUUUGCCCACCUGGAGCUGCAGGGAUCCUGGGAGCUCUUCACCACCAUCCACACCUACCCGAAGGGCGUGGGCCUCCUUGCCAGGGCCAUGGUGCAGAACCACUGCAGGCAGAUCCCAGCGGUGCUGCGUCAGCUGCUGCCCAGCCUGCAGAGCCCACAGGAGCGUGAGAGGAAGGUGGCCAUCCUCAUCCUCACCAAGUUCCUCUACAGCCCUGUCCUGCUGGAGGUGCUUCCCAAACAAGCUGCCUUGACCGUGCUGGCACAAGGCCUCCACGACCCCAGCCCUGAGGUCCGCGUGUUGAGUCUGCAGGGCCUAAGCAACAUCCUCUUCCACCCAGAUAAGGGAAGCCUGCUCCAGGGACAGCUGCGGCCCUUGCUCGACGGCUUCUUCCAGAGCAGCGACCAGGUGAUCGUGUGCAUCAUGGGCACCGUGUCAGACACGCUGCACCGCCUGGGCGCGCAGGGCACAGGGAGUCAGAGCCUCGGCGUUGCCAUCAGCACACGCUCCUUCUUUAAUGACGAGCGGGACGGGAUUCGGGCGGCAGCCAUGGCACUGUUCGGGGACCUGGUGGCGGCCAUGGCAGACAGGGAGCUGAGCGGCCUGCGGACCCAGGUGCACCAGAGCAUGGUGCCCCUGCUCCUACACCUGAAGGACCAAUGCCCAGCUGUCGCCACGCAGGCCAAGUUCACCUUCUACCGCUGUGCUGUGCUGCUCCGCUGGCGGCUACUGCACACCCUCUUCUGCACGCUGGCCUGGGAGAGGGGCCUCAGCGCCCGCCACUUCCUCUGGACCUGCCUGAUGACCCGCAGCCAGGAGGAAUUCAGCAUCCACUUGUCACAGGCCCUCAGCUACCUGCACAGCCACUCCUGCCACAUCAAGACCUGGGUGACACUCUUCAUAGGCCACACCAUCUGCUACCACCCCCAGGCCGUGUUCCAGAUGCUGAAUGCUGUGGACACCAACCUGCUGUUCCGCACUUUUGAACAUCUCAGAAGUGACCCUGAGCCCAGCAUCCGGGAAUUCGCCACCAGCCAGCUCUCCUUCCUCCAGAAGGUGUCGGCCAGACCCAAGCAGUGACCUCCAGCCAUCCUCCCCCACCCACCGCCUUCCCCUCCCGUGUCCACCUGGUCAGCCCUGCCCCAUCCGCCCCCCACAGAGCUUGGUUGCAUAACGUUUUUCCAUUUGAAAGAAAGAUCUAGAUUCAACAAAA